GAUGAACGCUAGCGGCAGGCUUAACACAUGCAAGUCGAGGGGUGGUAGCAAUACUACACCGGCGCACGGGUACGUAACGCGUAUGCAAUCUACCUUUAUCUGGGGAUAGCCCGGGGAAACCCGGAUUAAUACCGCAUAAGUAAGUAACUCGGCAUCGAGUAGCUUUGAAAGAUUUAUCGGAUAAAGAUGAGCAUGCGUAAGAUUAGAUAGUUGGCGAGGUAACGGCUCACCAAGUCUACGAUCUUUAGGGGCUCUGAGAGGAGAAUCCCCCACACUGGCACUGAGAUACGGGCCAGACUCCUACGGGAGGCAGCAGUAGGGAAUAUUGGGCAAUGGGCGCAAGCCUGACCCAGCCACGCCGCGUGCAGGAAGAAGGCCCUCUGGGUUGUAAACUGCUUUUGACUGGGAAGAAAAGAUUCCUUGCGAGGAAAGUUGACGGUACCAGCAGAAUAAGCCACGGCUAACUACGUGCCAGCCGCCGCCGUAAAAC
rnacentral:rRNA from 1 species